UGGGGAAUUUUGCACAAUGGGGGAAACCCUGAUGCAGCGACGCCGCGUGAUUUAGAAGGCCUUCGGGUUGUAAAAAUCUUUUCUAUGGGAAGAAAAUGACAGUACCAUAGGAAUAAGGACCGGCUAAUUACGUGCCAGCAGCCGCGGUAAUACGUAAGGUCCGAGCGUUGUCCGGAAUCAUUGGGCGUAAAGGGUACGUAGGCGGGUAAGCAAGUUAGAAGUUAAAUCCUAUAGCUCAACUAUAGUAAGCUUUUAAAACUGCUCAUCUUGAGGUAUGGAAGGGAAAGUGGAAUUCCUAGUGUAGCGGUGAAAUGCGCAGAUAUUAGGAGGAAUACCGGUGGAGAAGGCGACUUUCUGGCCAUAACCUGACGCUGAGGUACGAAAGCGUGGGUAGCAAACAGG
rnacentral:rRNA from 1 species